rnacentral:rRNA from 1 species
GAUGAACGCUGGCGGCGUGCCUAAUACAUGCAAGUCGAGCGAACAGACGAGGAGCUUGCUCCUCUGACGUUAGCGGCGGACGGGUGAGUAACACGUGGAUAACCUACCUAUAAGACUGGGAUAACUUCGGGAAACCGGAGCUAAUACCGGAUAAUAUAUUGAACCGCAUGGUUCAAUAGUGAAAGACGGUUUUGCUGUCACUUAUAGAUGGAUCCGCGCCGCAUUAGCUAGUUGGUAAGGUGACGGCUUACCAAGGCGACGAUGCGUAGCCGACCUGAGAGGGUGAUCGGCCACACUGGAACUGAGACACGGUCCAGACUCCUACGGGAGGCAGCAGUAGGGAAUCUUCCGCAAUGGGCGAAAGCCUGACGGAGCAACGCCGCGUGAGUGAUGAAGGUCUUCGGAUCGUAAAACUCUGUUAUUAGGGAAGAACAAAUGUGUAAGUAACUAUGCACGUCUUGACGGUACCUAAUCAGAAAGCCACGGCUAACUACGU